GGGGUGGCUCCCCUAACAGCCG
rnacentral:misc_RNA from 1 species